rnacentral:rRNA from 1 species
GAUGAACGCUAGCGGGAGGCUUAACACAUGCAAGUCGAGCGGGAUUAGCAGCAAUGCUAUGAGAGCGGCGCACGGGUGCGUAACGCGUAUGCAACCUGCCUUAUACAGGGGAAUAGCCCAUGGAAACGUGGAUUAAUGUCCCAUAGGAUUACGGAUUCGCAUGGAUUUGUGAUUAAAACUGAGGUGGUAUAAGAUGGGCAUGCGUCUGAUUAGGUAGUUGGUGAGGUAACGGCUCACCAAGCCGACGAUCAGUAGGGGUUCUGAGAGGAUUACCCCCCACACUGGUACUGAGACACGGACCAGACUCCUACGGGAGGCAGCAGUGAGGAAUAUUGGUCAAUGGCCGGAAGGCUGAACCAGCCAUCCCGCGUGCAGGAUGACGGCCCUAUGGGUUGUAAACUGCUUUUGUACCUGAAGAAACCUGUUUACGAGUAGACAGUUGCCGGUAAGGUAUGAAUAAGCAUCGGCUAACUCCGUG